CUACGUCAUUGUUGCUCGUUACAUUACAUCGUCGACAUUACCCCACCCCGACGUUGUCCUUAAUACCAACGUCGUCAGAACGCUUCCACCCAGUUACCAAGCGUGCGCUCUCAGGGAAGAACCACUCCCAACUACGUAGCCUACGUAGAUAGUACCCCGUGUUUCCUCCAGUGGAACUUAUACAUCGACGCGUAUAUUACCUACAAGAUGGCAGCUAGCCAAUAUUAUCACGUACAGUGCACACCCACCGUGUACCCUGCCGAGCCCUUCGAUCCCGAAGAGGAUGCCAGCCUUUUACGAACCGCCAUGAAGGGCUUCGGUACCGAUGAGCAAGCCAUCAUUGACGUCCUGGCUCAUCGAGGUGUCGUACAGAGAAUGGAAAUUGCUGACAAAUUUAAAACAAUGUACGGCAAGGACCUCGUUUCCGAGCUGAAAUCGGAGCUUUCCGGCAAUUUUGAAAACGUCAUCUGCGCGCUGAUGACGCCUCUUCCCGAGCUAUACGCCAAGGAAUUGCAUCGCGCCAUUUCCGGCAUGGGCACCGACGAAGGCGCGCUCAUCGAGGUUCUCGCCUCUCUCAGCAAUUACGGCAUCAAAACGAUAUCGGCCAUUUACAAGGAUUUGUACGAGAAGGAACUGGAGGAUGACCUCAAGAGCGACACUUCCGGCCAUUUUAAGAGGCUUUUAGUGUCAUUGUCCUGUGCCAGUAGAAACGAGAAUCCCGACGUCGACGAGGAGGCUGCAGUUCAGGACGCCGAAAAACUCAUGGCCGCCGGUGAGGGACAAUGGGGUACAGACGAGAGUACUUUCAAUGCAAUUUUAAUCACCAAGAGUUAUCCGCAAUUGCGAAGGAUCUUCAAGGAGUACGAACGCAUUGCCGGACACAGCUUGGAGGACGCCAUAAAGCGAGAGUUUUCGGGUUCUCUUGAAGAUGGCUAUCUGGCUGUGGUCAAAUGCGCCCGCGAUAAGACUGCCUAUUUCGCGGAAAGACUGUACAAGGCCAUGCGUGGAAUCGGCACAACCGACUCGACGUUGAUACGCAUCAUUGUUGCGCGCUCGGAGAUCGAUCUAGGUGACAUUAAGGAGACUUACGAGAGACUCUACGGCAAAUCUCUCGCAGAAGCUAUUGAUGAUGACUGUUCAGGCGACUACAAGAGACUCUUGCUUGCUCUUCUCGGAUGAAACUAUUUCUCAAUCGCGCGCCAACUUUUUUCUACCGAAAAGUAUAUUUCGAUGUCGCGAAUUAUACGUCGUAUACCCAUGUAUACUACUGUUUUGUGAUAUAUUCUGCAAAAACCUCGGAUUUAGUUUCUUAUAUUUCGCACUGGUCAAUAAUCAAUGAAUGAUUGCAGUGCCGAAUGGAAAAGGCUGCUGAUAGCAAUGCUGAAUUAAAAAUAGCCAAGAAUAAGAACAAAACAAUAUUGUAACAUAUAACAUACAGUAACGAAGGAUGAAAGUAAUAAUGAAUGAACGAAUGAAUCGAAAAGG
rnacentral:misc_RNA from 1 species